GACGUCCCGUCUAAAGCCGAACGUCCACGUCCAAAACCCGACGUCCGUAGGACAUACAGCGGAUGUAUGUUUUCGGCUAUUUCCGAACGUCCGUUUGGUCCUUUUCUCGGCCGUCCCAGGGAUGUCCUCACUGGAUUCAUAGCGGAUGUUUUCAACCCGGAUAACCCAGGGACCGCCAAGGGACGUCGCCUCUGUCGCACCCGAAAAUUUCGCUUCUGAAG
rnacentral:lncRNA from 1 species